UCUUGCAGAAGUAUUAAGUUAGCUGCAUUUGAUCCACUGUGUCAGAGUCUGUUUAUUUUUUCCCCCAGUGACAAAUCCAGAGAACUUCUGUUGGAUCCAGCUAAAGUGUUCUGAAGCUGCAGCAUCUAAGAAGAGGAUUUGCCCACCCUGCAAAAGAUGCCCUUGUAGCAGCCUAUCAUCCUAUCACAGGCGGAACUGACCUUGCACCUUUCACAUUUCUUUCAAAAUUACCCUGCAGAACCUCAGGAAACACUGACCAAGGAGCCAAACUCUGGGGUAUGGGCUGGAAGGACAAAAGCUUUGCAGAUUGUUGCACACCAAGACACAAUGAAAGGCAGCUAAGCAAGGCUUGAUUUUUAUGUUGACAGUCUACUGUAAUUAGAGAGGAAGUAAAUGCUAUUGACUGAUGUGCCACCUGAGAAGAGGGGAGUGAGUCAGUGCGCUGGAGGAAUGGACCUGCACUCCCCUUCAUUCUGAGCCUGAGGAUGAUGGGUGCAAGGUUAGAAUAAGCAAAAGCUCCCCGUUUCUUGCUUCUGUACAA
rnacentral:lncRNA from 1 species